rnacentral:lncRNA from 1 species
UCUUGUUCAUGUUGUUUCAAACACAGGAUUGUUUUUUCUGGUAACUUCAAUCAAAAAUGUUUGUAACAAAUAACCACUUAUAGAAUCAUGUUUUAUUUCCCCUUUUUAACAAUAUUUUAUAUUUUAUUGUUAGGUUUGCCAAGCACUGUUGCUUUUUCAUAUUUAUGUAUUCGUCCACAACAAGAAUCUGUGAUGCAUUUCUAUUUCAACAUAAA